CACGUAGGGCGCAAGCGUUGUCCGGAAUUAUUGGGCGUAAAGAGCUCGUAGGCGGCUUGUUGCGUCGGAUGUGAAAGCCCGGGGCUUAACCCCGGGUCUGCAUUCGAUACGGGCAGGCUAGAGUGUGGUAGGGGAGAUCGGAAUUCCUGGUGUAGCGGUGAAAUGCGCAGAUAUCAGGAGGAACACCGGUGGCGAAGGCGGAUCUCUGGGCCAUUACUGACGCUGAGGAGCGAAAGCGUGGGGAGCGAACAGG
rnacentral:rRNA from 1 species